rnacentral:rRNA from 1 species
GGAAUAUUGGUCAAUGGGCGAGAGCCUGAACCAGCCAAGUAGCGUGCAGGAUGACGGCCCUAUGGGUUGUAAACUGCUUUUGCAUGGGAAUAAAGUCGGGGACGUGUCCCCGUUUGUAUGUACCAUGAGAAUAAGGACCGGCUAAUUCCGUGCCAGCAGCCGCGGUAAUACGGAAGGUCCGGGCGUUAUCCGGAUUUAUUGGGUUUAAAGGGAGCGCAGGCCGAAGGUUAAGCGUGACGUGAAAUGUAGCCGCUCAACGGCUGAACUGCGUCGCGAACUGGCUUUCUUGAGUGAGUUCGAUGUCAGCGGAAUUCGUGGUGUAGCGGUGAAAUGCUUAGAUAUCACGAAGAACCCCGAUUGCGAAGGCAGCUGGCAAGGCCUUUACUGACGCUAAAGCUCGAAGGUGCGGGUAUCGAACA